ACCUCUGAUACAUAUUGGCUAUUGUAGGUGCAGCUCUAACUCAAGCACGCUUUGGGUUCAGUUUCAACACUGAGACAAAAUGAGGAACUCUCAAUCACUGAACAGCUAAAUGAGGUUUAUUUCUCCUUAACAGUAUGAAUAUGCAAUACGAAUGCAGUGAGCUCUUCUCUGGACAUGGCCCCCCUCGUCUCCAUCUGGAAGUAAACUAAGUCUCACAUUCUGGUUCAUGUGAUGUGUGAUGCCACAUCUUUGGAGUUCAAAGUGGAUCAAAAGUAAUAAUGAUGAACCAGACCAGCAUCAAGAACAUGACAGCCCCAGCACAGAUGAUGAUGCCUCCAGGGUAGUUAUAGAUUUCUUCAUCUCCAUAUGUGAAGUGGUGAUGAUGAUGAACAGAAACAGCCCCAGGAAUACCAGGGCCAUUGCACAGCAAUUUCUGACGUAGUCCACAAUUCUUCAUACCACAUUAGGGUGAUCUGUAGGUCUCUCCAGCUCAGAUAAAGAGACAUUAAAAUCUCCUACAAUUAUUGUGUUACUGUCUAUAGGGGUGUAUAGCCCUUUUCAGGGCUGCUCAUCCACUUUUGGUGUCCACCUGUCACCCUGCUCUCACCUGUGGCUCUAAUAAGCCAUAACAUGCACAAUGGCCACACACCAGUAAAACUGUCUCGGCAGAUGGAGUAAACCAAGUUGAAGGUAACCAACAGUCCUCACAGCCACCAAGGAGUUAGGAGUAUGUCUACCCCAAGCAUGUGAAGACUUCCCCUGGUAGAAUGGGCAGAUGAGAACAGCUUGCUCCAAUAGCCACUGAGGCAGCUGAAGCAUGUGCUGUGGCAUGCUUAGAGCUUUGGUUAGACAUUGAAGACUCAUCCACUGCAUCCUGAGUCAUCACCAGUUGCCUUGAUUUUUGUCCUGCUACUGGACUUGGAAGACUCUGGAAGUAAGAAUGAGGCUAAUUCAUGCACAAGUCAAGACAUCAUCUAUGAUAUCAUUGGUCUUCUCAGAAAAUGAA